GCGGGAAAUUGUUUUGUACCGCUGCGAUUUGGGUUUCACAGUUAAUACUACUGUGUGGGGAGAAACCAUUUUGUUUUUUAGCAAUCGAGAGGGAAGGGGUUAGAAAACAACCCUUUGCAAACAUAGCAGCGGCACAAAAAUGUUCCCACCACGUGCAGAGCUCCAAUAUUUAUGGACGUGCACAACGUACUGAGAUUUUUCCAUUUCUUUUAACGUCACUUUUAUUUCCAAAUGAAAUGUAAUUGAAUUCAAAUUUGGUUUUUCUGUCUCUUCCUCCCUUCUUUCUCGCCCUUCCCACUGGCAUUUUUCGUUUUGCUAUCCAGUGCAAGUGUAAUUUUAUAUCAACGACCACGCCGACGUUGUGCGUCCAUGUGUUCGUGUGCGCGCGCGCGAACGAUUGCCUCCAUGUGUGUGUGUGUGUGUGUAAUGGGGCCGAGGGUUUAAAGCAACGUCAGUGUCGUUGCCAAGCCCGCAGUCUCUCGUUGGCUUUUCGACAGUCUACACCUCUUGUCUGUUGUUUGACUGCCAUUCUCGUGGUCUCCCCCCCCCCCCACACUUCGAUUCCUAUCAUUCCUCACACAUCCUUUGUUGCGUUUCUCGUUGCCACUCAUUCGUCUUAUCCUGCCCUGAUAUAACACGCCUUCGUUUUCAUAGACUUUGGUGAUGGAAUUAUACAAUUAAAGUGUUGUGUGUAAACGUAGACACUAUCGAGUCAUCAAUCCUGAUCAGCCAGUGAAAACGCCUCACAGUUUCCAGCUCGGCUCAACGUGGUCAGCCCAAGUUUUGGGAGGCAAUGCACAGGAAUGACUGGAGCCCCUCGUCAUCGGAAACGGGAUUCUUGCAGCGCGGCCAUCUUGUGGGCGUCGUGAUAACGAAAUGGCGUCGCUCCUCCUCCCUACAGCCAUUGGAGAUACGUCGUGAAAAACACGUUACUACACCGUGGUCAGACGAAGUGAGAACACACGCUGCGGCAAGGAUACCCACACACACAAAAAAAAAAAACUUUUCGGGACUUUGGUCUGUUAUGAUGGGAACGUGAUUCCCGCCACCUCAUUGCCGCUGCUGGCCAUGCAUGAAGCAACUCUUAAACGCGUGAGAGCUUUAUUCCGUCUGCAAGCCGACGAAGGUUGCCGAAACCCCAUCUCUCUUCAAGCCGCUGGCAAAUCACUUAAACUGACUGCGGUCGAUUGGGAACUCGAGUACCAAGCCAACGACUGGUUUUCUUUCCCCUCCUUUUUGAAGUGAAACGAAGAUGGGGAAAGAGAGGAGAAAAAAAAAAAAAAAAUAAUAAUCAAAUGAAAAUCAAAAAUAAUUGUGACGUGAUAAAAACCCUGAACAUUUUGACGGGUUUAAAUUCCCCAUCUUCUUGUAUAUAUUUAUGUAUAUUUUGUGUGUGUGUGUGUGUGUGUGUGAUAGAUCUCUUUCUCUUCGUUAAUCUCCCUCCUCGAAUCAUUUUUCAUUUUUUAUUUGGACAAACAUUCUCUCCUCUCUUGAAGACGGACUUUUUUUUUUUUUUGCAUCUUUUUAGCCAUGCGGGCGCCCCCUCGACUGCUGCUAUAAAGAUCGUGAGAGCUCCCGCCCGUCUUGCGCGUGAGUCUCGUACGCGCCGUUAUCUUAUUUCUUCUUCUUUUCGUUUCCUUCAGUCGUUUUUCUUUUUCGGUUGAAGUACGAGGAUGAAGAAGAAGAAGAAAAUGCUUGAAAAGUUUAAGGGACAAUGGGGGAAACUAUUUUCAAAUGGAUAUCGACUAGACGAUCGAACGAGGUCGUUUUCAUUUUAUUCCUCCUCCCUGCUGCCGUGCCCUCUAGUAACGAUUUUUGUUUUGUUCCUCGGACGGCAUUAACCCCGACGCGGAUCGGCCCGGAUGGGUGUGAAGCACGCGCUCGGUCACGACCAAGCGCGUGCGCUCCGUCUGCCAAAGGGCGUCUCCGUCUCGUUCGUUCCAACAAAGACGUCCUCCUUUUUUCUUGAUCGAAAGAACAAAAUAAAAAAAAAAAUAAAUAAAUAAUCCUACGACGUCAGCCGGCCCGAAUCCCGGCCAAAACAAUCACCGAUCUCUGCACUUGGUUUUCAUUUCUCGUUGUGUAACCCCCUUCCUCAACGAAACACGGACUCGUCUUACUUACCACGCAGACCAUCUCUAACAACGUCGACAGAAAAAAAAACGAGGGAAAACUGAUAGAAGAGACGCUGACGCUUGCAAACGCAAUCCCUCUUUUGCUUUCCUUUUUGUGUGUGUGUGUGUGUUUUGUUUGUUAUCUUAUUUUCUUUUUCCCCCCAGAAAGUCUUUUCUCUUGUCUGUCUUUUUCUUCUUUUUCAGACGUUUUGUAUAUAGCCCCGAGACUCGGGAAUGAUGGAUCGUUUUCUUCUUCUUCUUCUUCUUCUUCUUCUUGGUUAUACAUCAAGAAGAAAGAAGGAAACGAAACGAAAGAGGGGGUGUAGUGUGCUGUGUUACUAGACUUCUUAUAUGGCAGACUCUCCUUUGCAGCGUACUGGAAAUAAUUCGUUCAACUGUCAGUAAAUUUGUCUCGCGCCCUUGCUCUUUCCUCCCCUAUCAUACAUCAAGCUGAUUUUCUCUUUUUUUUUUUCUUUCUUACCAACCAGACGACUACUGCUGUUCGUGAGCGCAACGUUCACUGUGUACGACGUCGUCUUCUCCGAACUCUUUGUUUGAACGCGCUGUUUCAGCCGAGCACGUAUGUAGUAGCCUACCAUGAAAAAAAAAAAGGAGUCGUUGCUACUCAAAUGCAGUCGUGUGUCACGGUCAACUCGAGGCACACGGCAAAACGUUUCUGUUUCGUGCAAAAAAAAAAACAACAUUAUUUUGCUUGU